rnacentral:rRNA from 1 species
GUGGUACUCGAGCGGCGAACGGGUGAGUAACACGUGAGUAAUCUGCCCUUGGCUUUGGGAUAGCCACCGGAAACGGUGAUUAAUACCGGAUACGACCACUUCUCGCAUGGGAUGGUGGUGGAAAGUUUUUCGGCCAGGGAUGUGCUCGCGGCCUAUCAGCUUGAUGGUGAGGUAAUGGCUCACCAUGGCUUCUACGGGUAGCCGGCCUGAGAGGGUGACCGGUCACACUGGGACUGAGACACGGCCCAGACUCCUACGGGAGGCAGCAGUGGGGAAUAUUGGACAAUGGGCGGAAGCCUGAUCCAGCAACGCCGCGUGAGGGAUGACGGCCUUCGGGUUGUAAACCUCUUUCGGUGGGGACGAAGCGCAAGUGACGGUACCCACUAAAGAAGCACCGGCCAACUACGUGCCAGCAGCCGCGGUAAUACGUAGGGUGCGAGCGUUGUCCGGAAUUAUUGGGCGUAAAGGGCUCGUAGGCGGUUUGUCUCGUCGGGA